UACAGAGGUCCCGAGCGUUGUUCGGAUUCAUUGGGCGUAAAGGGUGCGCAGGCGGCCGUGUGUGUGAGGCGUGAAAGCCUGGAGCUUAACUCCAGAAUUGCACCUCAAACUACACGGCUAGAGCAUUGGAGAGGGUAGCGGAAUUCACGGUGUAGCAGUGAAAUGCGUAGAUAUCGUGAGGAACACCAGAGGCGAAGGCGGCUACCUGGACAAUUGCUGACGCUCAGGCACGAAAGCGUGGGGAGCAAAAGGG
rnacentral:rRNA from 1 species